rnacentral:rRNA from 1 species
CCUACGGGCGGCAGCAGUAGGGAAUUUUCGGCAAUGGGGGGAACCCUGACCGAGCAACGCCGCGUGAACGAAGAAGUUAUUCGUAAUGUAAAGUUCUUUUAACAGGGAAGAAAGAGAAAUUUGACGGUACCUGAAGAAUAAGCUCCGGCUAACUACGUGCCAGCAGCCGCGGUAAUACGUAGUGAGCGAGCGUUAUCCGGAAUUAUUGUGCGAAAAGGGUGCGUAGAUGGCAUAGUAAGUCUUUUGUAAAAAUGCUGGGCUCAACCCAGUAGGGCAAAAGAUACUGCAAAGCUAGAGUAUGACAGAGGCAAGUGGAACUACAUGUGUAGCGGUAAAAUGCGUAAAUAUAUGUAAGAACACCAGUGGCGAAGGCGGCUUGCUGGGUCGAUACUGACAUUGAGGCACGAAAGCGUGGGGAGCAAACAGGAUUAGAUACCCCAGUAGUC